GGGUCAUUAGGUUGGUCGUGCCACCGGUACGUACUGGUCUCACUGAUUCCUCCUUCCUGAAGAACCGUAAUGCCAUUAAUUUGGUGUUGCGGGGAAACAGGACUGUUACUUUGAAAAAAUUAGAGUGUUUAAAGCAAGCUAACGCUUGAAUAAAUUAGCAUGGAAUAAUGAAAUAGGACGAUCGAUCCUAUUUUGUUGGUUUCUAGGAUUGACGUA
rnacentral:rRNA from 1 species